ensembl:lncRNA
GUCAUGCCCUCCUACAAACUACUAGGUAUAAAAUAAAUAAGUAACAAACAUGUAGUGUACAACACAGAGAAUAUAGCCAAUAUUGUAUAAUUUUGUAAAAUGUAAUAAAAUUUUAUUUGAGGCAUAUAAUCUAUAAAAAUAUCAAAUCGCUAUGUUGUAUGCUUGAAGCUAUGUAACAUUAUAAAUCAACUAGGCUUCAAUUAAAAAAUAGGAAAAACUGGUUGUUGCUGGGAACCAGGCCUGAUGCCAAGGGUGCCUUGAGAGGGGUCCCUGCAGCCUGUGGGACCCUUGCAGAGAAGGGGCUCCUCCUGGGAGUACAUGUGGCAGGGGACACAGCCCAGAAGACCCCUGAGGGCUGAGGGCUGGGAAUACCAGUUGUGACAGGAGCUAAUCAGACCCAGAGCCCCUGUUUGAUAAUAGGGCAUUUGUUAAAAACUCUUUUUCUAUCUCAAAAUGAAUGGUUAAUAGAACCUCCUUCACUCGAAGCUCAUUUUUACAUCUACAUGAUGGAUGAUACCAUGGAUGGGUGAUUCCAAUGCCCCUCUGCUCAAAGCCACCAGGAAUUCACCUGCUUCAGUGUGGAUGGACAGAGCUGAACAUGAACAAAAAGGUGCAAACAGUGAAGACAAAGAGGCAGAAGACCUAUCUGGUCAGAUCUCCCAUGGAAGCUCAAUGAAAAGGAAAGGGUGUUUGUUCCUUUACAGUUUUGGGCGUGGCUUAGGAGUUGCUUUGCCCGGAGAUGUGGAAUUAACCAGGGGUUUGUCUCCUGAGAUGCUGACACCAAGGUGGCACUGAAUGAGGGAAGAUUCUGUGAGGGGAUCUGCCCAUGAGGAAACAUCGGGAAAGGGAAGAGGAGGCAGGGAAAGCCAUGAAGCUGCCAAUCUUUCCCAGCAUCAGGGCCUUUUCUUCGCAUCAUGUUGCCAAAGUAUUGGAGCUUCAGCUUCAACAUCAGUCCUUCCAGUGAAUAUUCAGACGAGGCUCAGCUACAAAAAACCAGAGAGUGGGUCACUAGGUAAUGAGACCUCCAGAAGAGCUGAAAAACAGAACCACAUGCCUGGUCCAUCUGCAUCCGUAUCCUUUGGCUCAGAAUGUCCAGCCCAACGUCUGUCUGAAAAGCGACAUCAGGCCAGAGGAAUGCGAAAGCUG